ACUCCUACGGGAGGCAGCAGUGGGGAAUAUUGCACAAUGGGCGCAAGCCUGAUGCAGCCAUGCCGCGUGUAUGAAGAAGGCCUUCGGGUUGUAAAGUACUUUCAGCGAGGAGGAAGGCAUUGAGGUUAAUAACCUCAGUGAUUGACGUUACUCGCAGAAGAAGCACCGGCUAACUCCGUGCCAGCAGCCGCGGUAAU
rnacentral:rRNA from 1 species